AUUGAACGCUGGCGGCAGGCCUAACACAUGCAAGUCGAGCGAGCGGCGGACGGGUGAGGAAUGUCUGGGAAACUGCCCGAUGGAGGGGGAUAACUACUGGAAACGGUAGCUAAUACCGCAUACCAUCAGAUGUGUCCAGAUGGGAUUAGCUGUUAGGUGGGGUAACGGCUCACCUGGGCGACGAUCCCUAGCUGGUCUGAGAGGAUGACCAGCCACACGGGAACUGAGACACGGUCCAGACUCCUACGGGAGGCAGCAGUGGGGAAUAUUGCACAAUGGGCGCAAGCCUGAUGCAGCCAUGCCGCGUGUAUGAAGAAGGCCUUCGGGUUGUAAAGUACUUUCAGCGGGGAGGCGUUACCCGCAGAAGAAGCACCGGCUAACUCCGUGCCAGCAGCCGCGGUAAUAC
rnacentral:rRNA from 1 species